GCCUGGGUGGCGGAACUGGUAGACGCAAGGGACUUAAAAUCCCUCGGGCAAAUUGCCUGUACGAGUUCAAUUCUCGUCCCAGGUACCA
rnacentral:tRNA from 1 species